GAGUUUGAUCAUGGCUCAGGAUGAACGCUAGCGGCAGGCUUAACACAUGCAAGUCGAGGGGCAGCAAGGGUAGCAAUACCUGUUGGCGACCGGCAAACGGGUGCGGAACACGUACGCAAUUUACCUCUGUCUGGGGAAUAGCCCGAAGAAAUUCGGAUUAACACCCCAUAAUAUAUUGGGAAGGCAUCUUUUUGAUAUUAAAACUCCGGUGGACAGAGAUGAGCGUGCGUCCCAUUAGCUAGUUGGUAGGGUAACGGCCUACCAAGGCGACGAUGGGUAGCUGGUGUGAGAGCACGGACCAGCCACACGGGCACUGAGACACGGGCCCGACUCCUACGGGAGGCAGCAGUGAGGAAUAUUGGUCAAUGGGCGCAAGCCUGAACCAGCCAUGCCGCGUGAAGGAUGAAGGCCUUCUGGGUUGUAAACUUCUUUUAUUGGGGAAGAAAUUACGGUUUCUACUGUAACCGACGGUACCAAGGAAUAAGCACCGGCUAACUCCGUGCCAGCAGCCGCAGUAAG
rnacentral:rRNA from 1 species